CAUCUAGGAAGAAACAGAACUAAAAAUCGAUGUGGCCGUGAGUUAAGAUGAUGAAUCAGAGAGAGUACCUGACUUGACCAAGAUCACCAGCUAGAAGACGGCGUUCGGCUACUCCUGUCCAGGGCUUUUGACUUAAGCAAGACAAAUGUAUCAGCUAUUUGCAAAAGCAACCCCAGAAAACAACUGACAAACGGGACAGACCCAGAGGCUCAGCAUACACAUUCUUUUCUUCUAGAACCUCCAAAGUGCUAAUACACUGUUUACAUCUAAAUGUGGCAACAUUCAAACAAAGAAAGCCCAUGUAAAUGGGUUGCAUUGGACACCUCCUCUUCUACAAUGC
rnacentral:lncRNA from 1 species